GAUGAACGCUGGCGGCGUGCCUAAUACAUGCAAGUCGAGCGAACGGACGAGAAGCUUGCUUCUCUGAUGUUAGCGGCGGACGGGUGAGUAACACGUGGAUAACCUACCUAUAAGACUGGGAUAACUUCGGGAAACCGGAGCUAAUACCGGAUAAUAUUUUGAACCGCAUGGUUCAAAAGUGAAAGGCGGUCUUGCUGUCACUUAUAGAUGGAUCCGCGCUGCAUUAGCUAGUUGGUAAGGUAACGGCUUACCAAGGCAACGAUGCAUAGCCGACCUGAGAGGGUGAUCGGCCACACUGGAACUGAGACACGGUCCAGACUCCUACGGGAGGCAGCAGUAGGGAAUCUUCCGCAAUGGGCGAAAGCCUGACGGAGCAACGCCGCGUGAGUGAUGAAGGUCUUCGGAUCAUAAAACUCUGUUAUUAGGGAAGAACAUAUGUGUAAGUAACUGUGCACAUCUUGACGGUACCUAAUCAGAAAGCCACGGCUAACUACGUG
rnacentral:rRNA from 1 species